rnacentral:hammerhead_ribozyme from 1 species
AUCCAACUGACGAGUCCCGAAUAGGACGAAAUGUGCAUCCUGAAU